AUGUGUGAUGUCCGUCCCACCCUGACGGUGCUUCCCCCCUCCAGUGAGGAGCUGCUGAAGGGGAAGGCCACGCUCAUGUGCCUGGCCAACAAGGGCUUCCCCUCAGACUGGAGUCUGGCCUGGAAGGUGGACGGCAGCAGCAGCAGCAGCAGCUGGGAGGAGAGCAGGAGCCCCGGGGUGCUGGAGAAGGACGGCAAAUACAGCUGGAGCAGCACCCUGAGGCUCCCUGCAGACCAGUGGGAGAAGGUGGGCUCUGUGACCUGUGAGGCCACCCAGGGCUCCCAGACUCCACUCUCAGAGACACUGAGGAGAGACCAGUGUUCCCAGUCCUGA